rnacentral:tRNA from 1 species
CCCUGGGUGGCUCAGUCGGUUGAGCAUCUGACUUUGGCUCAGGUCACAAUCUCACCAUUUGUGAGUUCGAGCCCCACAUCGGGGU